rnacentral:rRNA from 1 species
GGGUCAGUAGGUUGGUCGUGCCACCGGUACGUACUGGUCUCACUGAUUCCUCCUUCCUGAAGAACCGUAAUGCCAUUAAUUUGGUGUUGCGGGGAAACAGGACUGUUACUUUGAAAAAAUUAGAGUGUUUAAAGCAAGCUAACGCUUGAAUACAUUAGCAUGGAAUAAUGAAAUAGGACGAUCGAUCCUAUUUUGUUGGUUUCUUGGAUUGACGUA